ensembl:lncRNA
GGGAGACCAGCCUUGGACUAGUGGAAAUAGGUUAUGGUCAACAAAAAGGAGCUGGGAGAAUGUUCUAGUUUGCCUGGGGUAGGUCAUUUGAGAAGUUAGGAGGAAGGAGUCAUGAGCUAUGGGAUAUGGAAGGGAAAUGAAACUGUUAGAUAAGUGGGCCAACUAAAAUUCCCUCAGGAAAAAAAAGUCACUACAAUCUGAAUCACUAAAGAGUUUUAGGUAAGACGCUAAAACAGAAGCAGAAUCUGGGCUCCAUUCAGCAAAUAUUUAUCAUGUGUUUGCUAUCAGCAGGGCACCGGACUUGCUGUUGGAGGACAAAGGUGAGUAAGAAAUGAUCUGCCCUGGAGGAUCUUAGUCUGGUCAGAGAUGAGCUGUGAAUGGCUUAUUUCAAAUGCUGUGCUAAGUGCUGCACUAAAGCUGUUCCCAGGGCACCAGGGAAGCACAGAGGGGGAGCACCCAAGUUGACUUUGAGAAGAAUUGAGGAGGAGGUGUCGCUGUGACAGAGCACAGGUGGAGGAUCCUCGGUGGAAUCUAGUAUAAAAGAAGACUGGAAGUGAAUCAGCUUCAUUCCAGCCACCAGUAGUUGCACUGACAGAGAACUGGAGUUUUAUGGCUAGUUCUGGCUCCAUCCUGUCCUGGAGGUUCCGUCACCACAAGCAAGUAAGGGAACCUCACGCAACUUCUGCUUCGUCAUCUGCAGGUCAUCAUUACCUGUGAUGUCUGCCCCAGAGGAGGGCUGUGAGGAUCACUCUGGAGGUGGACAGGAGGGACCCGGAGCACUGUGCUCCAGGUGGACCGCAAUGUUCUGGACAUGGCUCUCCAUCCAUGUUCUCUGCUCAGCGGUGUUUUUGGAGCGUGGGGAAAUAGUGGAGCUCUGCCCAAGAAUCCCCCCAUUACCACGAAUGCUAACGGAGCAGACACUCAAGACCAGCAGAGAUGACUCAGCAUUUCUGAGGAGCCCUAUCAGGAGAAAAGUAGUGAGCUGCAGACAUAAAUUUGAAUUCCAGAGUCUCCGACUAACCCAACUCAUAAAUGAAUUCCUAAAUGCUGACUGA